CUCCCCUACGGGAGGCAGCAGUGAGGAAUAUUGGUCAAUGGGAGAGAUCCUGAACCAGCCAAGCCGCGUGAGGGAAGACGGCCCUAUGGGUUGUAAACCUCCUUUGUCGGAGAACAAAACCCGGGACGAGUCCCGGACUGCGUGUAUCCGAAGAAAAAGCAUCGGCUAACUCCGUGCCAGCAGCCGCGGUAAUACGGAGGAUGCGAGCGUUAUCCGGAUUUAUUGGGUUUAAAGGGUGCGUAGGCGGUCCGUUAAGUCAGCGGUAAAAUUGUGGGGCUCAACCCCGUCAAGCCGUUGCAACUGGC
rnacentral:rRNA from 1 species